CUCUGAGCGUGCUGGCUCUGCAGGAGGAAGGAUUCCAUGCCCUGCUGGAGGACAAAUCCUGCUGCUCUGAUGUCCUCCUGCACUUAUGUGAGGUUUUUGUGGUGACAUCUGAGGGCAGCUUCCCCCCCUCCCCGGGCCAUUUUGGGGUUAAAGAAGCAGAGUUUGGGAGGUCUCACCCACCCUGACCCCAGCACCGAGCGAGCAUCCCCCGCACGCUCAGGGUCCCUGCUGGAGGCUCGGGGUGAGUGAGGGACAGAAGGACAGACAGACAGCCAGGAGGAGAGGAUGGACACUGCAGCUGGGACAGACAGACAGCCAGGAGCAUUUCCCAAGGACGGCAUGGACACUGCAGCUGGGACAGACAGACAGCCAGGAGCAGCUCCCAAGGACAGCAUGGACACUGCAGCUGGGACAGAAGGACAUCCAGAGCAGCCAGAACAGCUCCUGAGGACAGGAUGGACACUGCAGCUGGACAGAGGGACAGAAGGACAUCCAGGACAUCCAGGACAGCCAG